rnacentral:snoRNA from 1 species
AUGUAUCUAUUUGACCGACAUGGGACACUUCUUGUAUGCUGCUAAGGGUUUCACUAUAGAUACAACAGGAAAGUAUCCUUGAGCUUUCUGAAUGUAGCAGCCAAGAUUGAAUGGGAGAAUAAAGUA